AUACGUAGGGAGCAAGCGUUGCCCGGAAUUACUGGGUGUAAAGGGAGCGUAGGCGGGAUAGCAAGUCAGGUGUGAAAACUAUGGGCUCAACCCAUAGAUUGCACUUGAAACUGCUGUUCUUGAGUGAAGUAGAGGUAAGCGGAAUUCCUAGUGUAGCGGUGAAAUGCGUAGAUAUUAGGAGGAACAUCAGUGGCGAAGGCGGCUUACUGGGCUUAUACUGACGCUGAGGCUCGAAAGCGUGGGGAGCAAACAGGAUUAGAUCCCCUGGUAGUCCACGCCGUAAACGAUGAUUACUAGGUGUGGGGGGACUGACCCCUUCCGUGCCGCAGUUAACACAAUAAGUAAUCCACCUGGGGAGUACGGCCGCAAGGCUAAAACUCAAAGGAAUUGACGGGG
rnacentral:rRNA from 1 species